rnacentral:lncRNA from 1 species
AUGAGGCAGGGCAAGAGGAGGGGGCGCUCCCGGAGGCGGCCGCGGGUUGGAGGGGGGGGGCCAGGCGGUGCUCUCCAUGCAGGGGCGGGGAAGGUCUCCCACAGGGGUCCUCGGACGUGGUGGGGGGCAGAUGCGCGUCUGCAGGGCCCCCCCCCGCCCCGAGCCCUGUGGCUGGGCCGUCAGCUCGCUGCAGGGGUGCUGGGGGGGGACACGCGCGCGGGCGGGGCCGGGCGGCCACGGGGAGGUCUGGGGCGCCCCGCUCCGCGGCUCCAGCAGCGCCAUCCCCGCGCCAGGAGCCAGACCCGCAGGGCGCGGGCGGGGCCGGGGAGCCCCGGACCCCCCGGCCCCGCCCCGGGCCGCGCCCGCCCCCCACGUGGCCGCCGGCGGGCGGGGCGGCCCCUCCUCUUCCGCGCGCCCCGCGGAGGGAGCCCAGCCCAGCCCAGCCCGGCCCGCAGCGCGCCCAGCCGAGCCGAGCGGAACCCGGGGGCCCGGCAGCCGCGGCCCGGCCCGACCCCAGCGAGCGCCGCGCCCCCGCCCGGUGAGUCCACGCCUCCGCGCCCCGCGGGAGCCGCCGGGGAAACUGAGUCCCAGCGCGGGGCUCUGGGGCCGGGGAGGGCCUGGGGCGGCGCGGGGUGCGUGCUGGCCGCGGCCCCCCCGGUCGCCCCCACCCCGGGACCCCCCCACCCCCUCCCCGGGCCGCCCACCCGCGCGCAGACGCCGCCCGCGCGCCCUGGCCCGCGCCCCGCCCGGUGGGGGCUGGAUUCCGCGUCCCCGCGGCCGCCACCUCCAUCCCCUGACCGCGGAUCAGCCACAGUUGGGAAAAUAAACUUCGGCUCCGGGUCGGCGGCCCGAUCCCGCCCGCGCCCUGGUGUCCGUGGUGUCCGCGGGGCCGGGCGCGGGCCCCCAUCGCUGCCCCGGGGCCCCCGGGUGGGGCUGGAGGGCUGCUGUGCGCUCCCCCACCCCGGAACCCGCUUCCCGAGGAGGGACCCCGGGAUGAGCAUGACCUCAGGAAGGAAGGGGGGUUACCCGCGGUGCCUGCAUCAGCCUCCAGCUGUUCCUGGGGAGCUCAGGGGGCGCAGGGGGGCUGCUGUCUGCCUGCCCUGGAGGCUCUGUAACCCAGGGCCCCGGGCUGCACGGUGA